UAGACUAAAAAAUGAAUGAAAAUCAGUCAUCUAUAACAAACAACCAAACUCAACUCUACAUAUUAGGAAUGUACUAUAUUGUCUUUAGUAUUGCUUCGGUAGUGUGGCAUUGGGCGAGCUGUCCUUAGCCCAAUCCACAGUAUCUUCCAAAGACUUUGUGUUAGAGUCAAUUGCAGAUUGUUAAAAACUAUAUAUUCUGCUCUGACGCUAACUAACACUCUCACGAAUGCUCUCUCAGUUUCUAUACUUGUAAUACUAUGAUCUUCUCAAAACUCUAGAGAAAUUUUGUUUAAAAGUUACCUGUUUAAGCCAAAACCCUUCAGAUUCUUUGUCGUCUCCCAAACAGAAAAUAGAGCGAAUGCCAACAUUUUGAAGUCUCUUUCGUAGCUCUAGAAACAAUACAUGACCAUAGCCCUGCAGCAUAUUAACUAACAAUUAACUAAGAAACCUUAUUUGAAGGAGUAAGUUACAGUUAUUUAUUGCGAGCACUUAAAGAUAUAUGCAAAAAGACAACAGAUGACAUGAGUAGGAAAAUUCAGAAAAGACUUAAAAUUUCAUAUAGAUGGCUGCAGCUCAAAGUAAUUGAAAUGCACAUAAGAGUAUAAGACUUCUUUAAGAAACAUAAUCUUAGAGUUGACGCGAAAAAUUCAAAUAAGUCACAAAACAUUGGAGCACUUGGAAACAAGACAACCAAGUAAGUUUUCACUAUACUCGCUUGCACUAACACUUUUUACUGAGAAUACAUAUCAUGAAGGUAUCUAAUUAACUUCAUUAUAAGCUAGAAAAACAAGCAAAUUACAACUAGAAGUUAGAAAUAAACAGUGUUGUUGAAUACCAGCACUAUAGUGUA
rnacentral:lncRNA from 1 species